rnacentral:lncRNA from 1 species
AGGCAAAGGAGAAGAUGCAAUCUAAUGUCAGAACCAUUUCAAGAUCAUAAAUUACAAGCUUCCCAACCCUGACCUGGCUGAUAAAGAUCAGAUAGUGACUGAAUAGAAGCUGUUGCAGCCCCGAUUCCAUGAUGUACCAUUAAACAGAGAGCUGUCUGUAUUUCCAGCGAUAAACACAUUGCUUGGCCCAUUGUAAGUAUUCAAGAUUUGUAUGCUGACUUAGGGUAACAUAUGCCAAAAGCCA